CCGACUUCACACUGGAAAUUCUCUCCCGACAAUCGAUAAUCAUCAAGAGAAUUUUACGUAGCUGGCAGACCUCGGAGAGCCUUACAGGGCAUUUUGUCCAGAGUUUCUCAACCUAUUUAAAGCCCCAACCCUCCCCCUAAUCUCAGACCCUGGGAUUUCAGCUAUCCCCACUUCCCCUGGGAGUGGGGGAGGUUUGCCCUGCCUAAGAAUUCGCUGGGCUUCCAUGGCGCUCUCCCAGCCAUGGAGGUUAUAUCAUUGAGCUUUACUCGCUGUGGUCUGAAUUACAAGAACAACAGGCACUUAAUUUUAGUUUCCCAACUAUGAAAUUAUGACACUAAAUAUGCUUUCUCUGGCUGCAUGAGCCCACCCUCAGCACUCUGACAGAUCCCUUAAGUGCUCUGCCAUCCCAAGGGGGUAAUUAUGGUUUUCUUCUUCUUAAAGUGGUUUUCACGAAAGAGCCAGGCUGAAAGGGGGCCCCCUUCAGUGGGAUGAGGGCCAACCAUGCCUGUCCAUUUAGGAUUUUACGUGUAGAGCUUACAUGCAGGCUCCAGCCCCCAUCUCCUAUCCUGUGGUCUAGCCUGCUUACUCUAUGUUCUUUCAUGUGCACAUUUGCAGGCCUCAAGAUCCCAUCCUUUUUAUUGUUAUUUUGUUCAUAAAGGGUGGUGAAAAGAGCACUGGACUGAGGGUCAGGAGCCUAGGGUCUAGGCCCUUAGAUUUCAACAAGCUGUGUGACUUUGGGUCCAUUCCUUGGCCUCUCUGGGCCUCAAUUUCUUCUUCUAGGAAAUGGAGAUGAUCAUUCUCUCACCUCUCUUGCCUCAUGGGCAUGGGUAAUUGUGAGGGUCAGCUGAGAUCAUACUGGGUGGGGACAGAGGGCACUCUGAAAUUGGUGAAUCUUGUUCAAAGGGGAGAGAAGAAAACUGAUGGGAGUUUUCUGGCCACUGCAUUUGGGGCAGUUUCCACUUCUCUCUGUUAAUCACCCUGCCAGAAACUUCUUUGCACAAAUCACCCAUUUCCAACAGGCACAUUUCCAAUGGAAUGCUGGGGUCCCAGGGCCAGGAAAAGUUUGAGAGCUGCCUCUGUCUGGGUUUUUGCUGACAGUUCUCUCCAGAAGGACAAAAUCAGGGAAUGGCCUGAACUCCAAAGCUUUUGGCUCCGCGAGCAAGUUCUGUCAUGAAGCAGCCUCCCCUCAAGGCCCCUGCCUCUAGGGGAGCCUGGGAGCUGUCACACGGGGACCCCUCUGGCUGGUGAGACAGUUGCCCCUUUCCUAUGACAGGCCGACCAGAUGCCACAUGACAGAUGCAAUGGGCAGAUCGCAGCCCCGGGUCCAGCUGGACUGUAUCACGUCAGCAGGGCAACAUCCCGCUCCGUGACCCGCCACAGGGGUGUGUGCGGCCUGUCACAGCUGGAAAAUCAGACCCCCCCCCCCCCCCAUUCAGGAGAGGUCUACACAGAAAGGCAUUGGCCCCUCCCCCAGAGUAUUAACACAAGAGUAACAUGCAAUGGCCGUGCCAGACUUUUUCCUUGGGGAUCAGGGUCCUCUGAAGGGCCAGCAGCUUAUUUGGCUUUUGCCAUUUAGAGCAGGGGCUGAGCUCUGGGGUUAGAACCAAGCUGGCCUCAGCCACUCUCCAGCUCUGUGACUCUGAGCGAGGUUCUCUGAGCCACAUUUGUCUCCACAUUGAGAUGUUGGCAGGAUGGCUGGCAUAAGGUGUGCAGUGCUGGCCCACUGUGAGGCAGGCUAGUGAACUCACAGGGCCCUGCUCAGUGGGACCCAGGAGAAGGGUGGCGGGUGCCUCCCACCAAUGCCCCAGGCAGAUUUCUGUGCACCCCACUUCUCAGCCUCUCAGCAUGGCUGCUGUGACUCCCGUACAGCAGUCCUCCCGGAAACCUCUGGGCUCAGGAUGAUCUGGACACACAAGAGGAGGCAAGAGAAGAAGAUUGGCACAAUCCAGCCUGUUGGACAUUGUGGACAUGUUUCCCUUUCUCAUCUGCAUCUGCUUUAAUGGGGUAAAUUCUCAGAAUUGCUGAGUCAAGUUUUUUGACUGUCCAAUCGGCCCUUCCCGCCAGCCAGAUUUGAGAAGGAUCAUUUCCUGCAUCUUUGCUCACUCCAGGUAUUAUAGUUUUUUAAAAUCUUCACGAGUUUAAUAAGUAAAAGGAUAUCUAGCUAUUUUUAUUUUGCAAAUCUGUUCUUGCAGAACCUCAAGGAGUAGAUGCAGGUAUAAAAUAGAUGAGAGGGUGGGGAGAUGGGCAAAAUGGGUGAAGAGGAGUGGGAGAUACAGGCUUCCAGUUAUGAAAUGAGUAAGUCAUGGGAAUAAAGGGCACAGGGUAAGGA